GAUUAAGCCAUGCAUGUGUAAGUGUAAAUAUUUGUAUUUUGGAACUGCGAAUGGCUCAUUAUAUCAGUUAUAGUUUAUUUGAUGAAGUUUACUAUUUGGAUAACCGUAGUAAUUCUAGAGCUAAUACAUGAGUGAAUCCUCGACUUUUGAAGAGGUAUGUUUAUUAGUAGUAAGCCAUUUGCAUGUGAAUGUAUUUGUGUGAGUAAUAAUAAUGAAAUGUAUCGUAUGCCUUUUGGUAGCGAUGUAUGAUUUAAGUUUCUGCCCUAUCAGCUUUGGAUGGUAGUGUAUUGGACUACCAUG
rnacentral:rRNA from 2 species